AUUGAACGCUGGCGGCAGGCCUAACACAUGCAAGUCGAGCGGCAGCGGGAAAGUAGCUUGCUACUUUUGCCGGCGAGCGGCGGACGGGUGAGUAAUGCCUGGGAAAUUGCCCAGUCGAGGGGGAUAACAGUUGGAAACGACUGCUAAUACCGCAUACGCCCUACGGGGGAAAGCAGGGGACCUUCGGGCCUUGCGCGGUGGGAAAUGCACGGGUGGGAUUAGCUAGUUGGUGAGGUAAUGGCUCACGAAGGCGACGAUCCCUAGCUGGUCUGAGAGGAUGAUCAGCCACACUGGAACUGAGACACGGUCCAGACUCCUACGGGAGGCAGCAGUGGGGGAUAUUGCACAAUGGGGGAAACCCUGAUGCAGCCAUGCCGCGUGUGUGAAGAAGGCCUUCGGGUUGUAAAGCACUUUCAGCGAGGAAGAAAGGUUGAUGCCUAAUACGUAUCAACUGUGACGUUACUCGAAGAAGAAGCACCGGCUAACUCCGUGCCAGCCGCCGCCGUAACAC
rnacentral:rRNA from 1 species